rnacentral:rRNA from 1 species
UACGUAGGGGGCAAGCGUUGUCCGGAUUUACUGGGCGUAAAGCGCGUGUAGGCGGAAGCGCAAGUCCGGUGUGAAAGCCCCCGGCUCAACCGGGGAAGGUCGCUGGAAACUGCGCUUCUUGAGGGCGGCAGAGGGAAGUGGAAUUGCUGGUGUAGCGGUGAAAUGCGUAGAGAUCAGCAGGAACACCAGUGGCGAAGGCGCCACUCUGGGCCGUAACUGACGCUGAGGAGCGAAAGCGUGGGUAGCAAACAGG